GAGAUAGUGUUUGAUACAAUGUAGUCCACGUGCAGGCGUGGUAAUUUGGACAUUUAUAGACAACAAAACGAGUUUGUGAUUUCAUAAUCAUUUGAGGAGAUUUUAAAUUGUUGUAGUGAUUAUGUCAAUGUGUGAAUUUGCCAUGACGCGUGUGCUGUGCGUGCCGAACACGUGCCCUUUUUGGCUUGUUCGACUUCAUGCGGCGCUGCAAGAACCGACAGCUGUAUGACGUCAAAGUACCGCGAGAACGAUUCGAGAACUCAUACGAAGUGUAAUUUCGUCUCGCUCUCGCGGCACUUUAACGUCAUGCGUCUGUCAGUUCUAGCGGGGCCGCAGGCAGGAAGUCGAACAGCCGUCUUUCCCUCAAUACGGAUUACCAUGAGGUGGGACUGACGAAGCUCCUCUUUCACGGGUUUCUUUCCUGUUUUCAGGAGUGACCAAUAUAACCUCUAUAAUAGAAGAAAAGCUGAAGAUUUCAAAAUUUUCUGAAGGGAGCCACAGACAGAGAUGUAAACUCAGGCAGGUUGAGAGCAUAUUAACUCACUUUUUUCACAACAUAUUACCAUGCAUCUUGUCAUUUUUCUGCGUUUAUAGCAGUUAUUCCAGGAAGGUUUUAACAUCCAAACGUGAGUGGCACCAUAUGAGCAAUAUUAAAUGAACAAGUAAACCUAAAAACAUAGAUUCUGUUAUAUUUUGUAUACUUUAAUUUUCUUUUCUGUGUUUUACAUCCUUUUCAUCAAUAUUGAUUGCUUUGUGACAAAUUGCAUGUUAUGUUUGUAGAUUUUCCUUGCUGAUAUCCGUGCAGCAGAGUCAAAGCAGACCUGUCAGAAAACAUCUCUAAGUUGCUAUGAAUCUCAUAACUAGAUACACAUCAUGAGAUAACUAGAGCUUAUGGCUCUGUUUGGAUCCAGCCUCACUUGUGAAGAAUUCAGAUGACGUAAACACUCACAAAGACAUUAUAUGAUGGCAUCUAUAGAUGGACAUACACAACUGCCAAAUGUAACAUAUUGUAAUUACUGCACCAAAGCGCAACCCUACAGAUUUUCAACCCACUUAAUAUUUUUACAAAUACAAUAUAUGUUUAUAUUUGAAAAAAAUAUUCUUUAGCUAAUUUUACUGAUUUAUUUCCAUUUAUUUGUCCACAAUACUCUGCCAAAAUGAUGUUUUGCAUCAUCCAAAUAUUGUUAAUGUACAUAUUACAGACAUUGUAACAACACAAAGUGGGUUGAAAAAGUUUCUUCUUCUAAGUGCAGUAACUACGCAAACAC